rnacentral:rRNA from 1 species
CCUACGGGAGGCAGCAGUGGGGAAUAUUGCACAAUGGGCGCAAGCCUGAUGCAGCGACGCCGCGUGAGGGAUGACGGCCUUCGGGUUGUAAACCUCUUUCAGUAGGGAAGCGGUACCUGCAGAAGAAGCGCCGGCUAACUACGUGCCAGCAGCCGCGGUAAUACGUAGGGCGCAAGCGUUAUCCGGAAUUAUUGGGCGUAAAGAGCUCGUAGGCGGUUUGUCGCGUCUGCCGUGAAAGUCCGGGGCUCAACUCCGGAUCUGCGGUGGGUACGGGCAGACUAGAGUGAUGUAGGGAGACUGGAAUUCCUGGUGUAGCGGUGAAAUGCGCAGAUAUCAGGAGGAACACCGAUGGCGAAGGCAGGUCUCUGGGCAUUACUGACGCUGAGGAGCGAAAGCAUGGGGAGCGAACAGGAUUAGAUACCCUUGUAGUC